CAGCGCUCCCUGGUCGAGUUAAGGGCCGGUUCCGGCGGCAGGGCGGGACUCGCGGUCUCCCGUCCCUCCCGGGGUGUGUGUGGGGGGAAUAACAUGAAGAUUUUUUGGGGUGAAAGCGCAGAAAUUAGCGAGGAGAGGCGCUAAUUUGGGUAAACUCGGUCACCGGAAGUAGAGAGCGACCGGAAAUCCUCCAAGGCCCCCGGCCCUGGGGCACCCAUAAAAAUGAUGUCGAAAUAACUAAUGAGAGACGCUUGCAACAGCUAUCAGAAGUGCACACAUUUGAGGCUUUGGAUAGUGACCCAAUGCUAGUGAAGUUAAUUGAUGCUCAAGUGUCCUGUGGGUGGUAGAGUUGAGCUGAAGCUUGGAGCUCAGGUGAUGCUAGCAAAGAAUCUGGAUGUGUCUCAAGGGCUGGUGAACGGGGCACGAGGCGUUGUUGUAGGAUUUGAAAGUGAACAGAAGGGGCUGCCUAAGGUGAGGUUUCUCUGUGGGGUCACACAGGUCAUAAGAAUGGAGAAAUGGGUCUUCAAAGGACCAUCAGGAGUUCACCUGAGUCGUCAACAGCUGCCUUUAAAGUUGGCAUGGGCCAUUUCCAUUCACAAGAGUCAGGGCAUGUCUUUAGAUUGUGUGGAAAUCUCCCUGUCUCGUGUCUUUGAAAGUGGGCAGGCUUACGUAGCCCUCUCCCGAGCCCGCAGCCUUGCAGGUCUCCGUGUUCUGGAUUUUGACCCAAAAGUAGUGAGAGCUGAUCCUUCUGUGCUGCACUUCUAUAGACAGCUGAGGCGUCAUCAGCUUUUAACCCAGGAUUCACUACACACCUAUUCAGAUGCUGAUGAGAAGGAGAAUGUGAAAUGCAGCUGAUAAUGUUCUCCUGGUUUCUGUGAAGUGUCAGCACAGACAGCUGAGAUGCAGUGAUCUUGCUAUUGAGUAUAUUUGAUAACACAGAGUGUAUAUUAAGCUGUUGUCAAUCUACAAUAAACGAAGUUCCUGGAUUCUCACAUUGAGGUGUCUAGAGCUUUCCGUCGCGACAUAGAAGUAUCCCCACCUUGUGCCUCUGGAAUUUGGAAGGCUUCUGCAGCCCCCUUCUGAGCCCACAGACCUACGUAAGCACUUCUGUGUCACAGAUGCAACUCUAGCAAACAAAAUGACUGAACAAGGAUGUUCCUGAAGGACUUUCCUAUGGUUCUAUCCUGCCUGCCUAGUUGCAUUUAAUCCUCCACAUAUAUAGACUGAAACUUGUGUCCCUUUCUUCAAGUAUACCACUGUUGUGAGAUGGAAGGUGUCCGGAUGGAUUGGACCAGUUCACAGGAGCUGCUGACACAAGGGAAAGCAGUGCUAAGUAUCUGGAAUACACACUUGAUUCUUCUGCAAGCAAGGAGCUGGGCUAUUACUUUACAGCAUGCUGAGGUGUUCCAGAUGCUUGACACCAGGAGGCUUUGCAAAACUUCCUCCACAAGCAGAACUGCCAGUUACAUAUUGCUUGUUAUGCUGAUAUGUAGUGUUUUUAUUAGUCUGUUGCAUAAGAUGUGAUUUUUAUUUUUUUAACCCUCUGAGAUGAACUGGCACUGUUUAAAGACAGGAGGAAUUCCUACAUCUUAUACCUGUAAUUAUGGAACUACAAGAAUUGUGAAGUUCUGUUACUCCAUUAGGGAGAAGAUGGGUACUGGUGAGAGUUCCUCUUGUUAAAACAUGAGGCUUGCUCAAAUGAAAGUUGUCCCUGGAAAAAACCUGUCUGACUAAUAAGGUGGAAGUUUAGUGUGAAAUAGGGAAUAAUGGCUAUGGACAUGUGAAGUGAGCUGUAAUGUCACCUGUUUCAGCAAAAGCAGAGAUAAGCAGAACUAAUAUACUGUCUUAAUUAAGGCAAAGCUUUGGUCUUUGUAUUUUAGCACUUUGUUUAAAGCUUAAGUGACUUGUAUAUUUUAAAAUGUUUAACAUCUUAAAACAUGACAUAACAUUCAGCUGGAA